CCUACGGGCGGCUGCAGUGGGGAAUAUUGGACAAUGGGGGCAACCCUGAUCCAGCCAUGCCGCGUGUGUGAAGAAGGCCCUCGGGUUGUAAAGCACUUUCAGUGAGGAAGAACGCCUGGUGGUUAAUACCCAUCAGGAAAGACAUCACUCACAGAAGAAGCACCGGCUAACUCCGUGCCAGCAGCCGCGGUAAUACGGAGGGUGCGAGCGUUAAUCGGAAUUACUGGGCGUAAAGCGCGCGUAGGUGGCUUGAUAAGCCGGUUGUGAAAGCCCCGGGCUCAACCUGGGAACGGCAUCCGGAACUGUCAAGCUAGAGUGCAGGAGAGGAAGGUAGAAUUCCCGGUGUAGCGGUGAAAUGCGUAGAGAUCGGGAGGAAUACCAGUGGCGAAGGCGGCCUUCUGGACUGACACUGACACUGAGGUGCGAAAGCGUGGGUAGCAAACAGGAUUAGAUACCCGGGGAGUC
rnacentral:rRNA from 1 species